AUACGGAGGGUGCAAGCGUUAAUCGGAAUUACUGGGCGUAAAGCGCACGCAGGCGGUCUGUCAAGUCGGAUGUGAAAUCCCCGGGCUCAACCUGGGAACUGCAUUCGAAACUGGCAGGCUUGAGUCUUGUAGAGGGGGGUAGAAUUCCAGGUGUAGCGGUGAAAUGCGUAGAGAUCUGGAGGAAUACCGGUGGCGAAGGCGGCCCCCUGGACAAAGACUGACGCUCAGGUGCGAAAGCGUGGGGAGCAAACAGGAUUAGAUACCCUGGUAGUCCACGCUGUAAACGAUGUCGACUUGGAGGUUGAUCCCUUGAGGAGUGGCUUCCGGAGCUAACGCGUUAAGUCGACCGCCUGGGGAGUACGGCCGCAAGGUUAAA
rnacentral:rRNA from 1 species